rnacentral:tRNA from 1 species
GAGAGAGGCUCGCAACAACGAAAAUUGCUAAUUUCCGUAACCUAGGUUGAAUUCCUGGGCUCACUCG